ensembl:lncRNA
CCCGCCGCCGCUCGAUUGCAAUUUGCAGGCGAAAUGCACAACGCCUGCCUCGACGCUAAUGAAUUUGGCCAUUUCUCACCGGUUUCUAAUGAAGCCUUUAAAGAGGGUUUAAGUAAACUUAGCAAGUGGCAAAGUAAGCACUUUGGAAUACUUAAUUGUAUCGAUGUGUUGGGUGUUUUUUUUGUUGUUGUUGUUGUUGGUUUUUUGUUUGUUUUUUUUUCCGCUGCUUUGUGAAAUAUAUCGCUGGGAGAGUGGGAGUAAAUACUUCCCUGUGCUGAUUGACUUCCACACCAUCAGGCUGCAAAGCCCCGCAGAGCCGGGGUGCAAACCCAUGGACUCUUCUCAACCCCUCAGUGCCAUGCACCACGCAGCAGAGUGGGUGUGAGCCCAGUGCUGGUUCGGCACUGUGCCCUUCCUCACUGCCACAGGGCUUCUGGCCCCACUAAAUGUCGUCAUUUGUCUCAUUUUGAGGCAAAUUUCCACCACUGGUUUGGAGUAAGGGGAAGAGAGAUGGAGCUGUGGCACCAUGAUAAUGCAUGACUGCAGUGAAAUUAAAGUGAAGGGAGAGGAGCGUGAGGGAAAGCCUGGGUGCUCCGAUUCUAAAAAGAAUUCCUCAAAAGCCCACAAAGAACUGAGUUCAGGUGGGUUUCACAUGGCCAAGUCGCUUGGCCAUGUAGAAUUCCCCUCAGACAAACACCAACAGGCCAAGCAACGGAACAGAACAGCUACUUGACGUCUUGGACCAUUGCACAUUUCACCUCACUCCCAAUUUGCUUUCCUGAAAUCCACCUGCCAUGGACUGUCCUGAACUGUCCCAAACUUCUGCAGAUGAGCAGGAGAAGGGGAUGCCAGCCAACUACAGGGAACUAAAAGAUGGCACAUAAAAUCCUUACAAAUAUUGAAGACAGUGGAACAACCGCAGCAGCGAGGUUCAUCUGUUGGUUGCUCCCAGAAAGGCGGUGGAUCUAGAUUUCAAUCUGCCUGUGAGUUGUAGGGUUGGCCCUGCUGGUGGAGGAGCAGACAUGCGGCGUGGUGGUGAUUUAAUGGUGACGCCAGAGGCACUUUGUGGUCCACAUCCUACAGUGAGCACCAGGAGUAAUGGGUGGUGGGCGAGCAUCGCCCAGCAUCCUCCACACACCUCGGCUCACCCAGAGCAGAAAAAGCUGCACAAUAAAAUUGUGGUUGUUGUGGGGGGAAAAAUGCAUGGGAAUGUGGAUAGUGCAGAGUGCAAGGAGCAAAUAAAAGGGAAGGAUGGAGAUGGAGGGAUGGAGGGAGUGGGAAGGAUGGAAGCAUGAUGCUGUACACCUGCUCCCUCUAUCCCAUUCUGGAGGAGCUCCUCCAGUCCCGGUGGCAAAGUCAGGGACUUGGAGGCAGCCUGGUUUGGGGCUGGGCACAGCCAAGGGAAGCCAGCAGGGCCGAGCUGCAGGGAAUGGACCAGGCUCAGUCCUUUGGGGCGGCAGCAUGGCCACCCGCACCAGGGAACCAGCAAUUAAACUGCCAGCCAGAUCACAGGGCUCUGCCUCCACAAUUACACACGACUGCUGAGUGCACACUCUCUCCAGCACAGACAUAUGCAAAUAGCCAUACUCCAAGCACAGACUGAAGGUGCAUUGUAUUGGGAUCAUGUGCUACACCUGUUUAUAAUAGCAUUUAAUAUCUCUGUAUAAAGCCGUGUAAAAUAUACAUAUGCAUGCUAUAAAAGAUAUCCCAGUUUGUGUGCAUGCGUGUAUAUAACACAGUACCCCUCACACAAUACCAAUGCAUAUACAUUUAUGUGAUCAGGUAUCACCACUAUCAUAUAAAAUAUAAUGACCACAGCUAACUCUCAGCUGCAAAAGCAAUAACAGCCGAUUGAUGGAUGAAGUGUAACCUGAAUUCAAACCCCUUGCAGGGAAAACCUAACUUCUCCUUGCAUCUCCUUUCUGAUUGCCCACAAGCCAUGCGUCCGCAAUUAACGCUCAGUUCUCGGCAUUGGAACAGUUAAUCACCGCAGCACUGAGAUCACUGCAAGUUAGGCUAAGUUUAACCACAUUUCACCCUUUUGCUCUGUUUGGUAUUAGCUCAGAGCCACUAGUUUGGUGCAAAUAAAUAAAUGAAGCCCCAAUCCCCCUAGGUGUCAUUAGCCAGCCUGGCUCUGAAUUAGGCAUUUAAAGGCCAGUUUAACCUUGCAGAACGGCUGCAUGUCAAAGUUCUAACAUUUCAGUUCAGAUUAUUAUAGUGCACUGCUUGCUCUGCAGUUUGUUCCUUUUUUUUUUCCCCCCCUUUAAAUGCAGAGUAUGCCACAGCAGAACAACAACAACAAAAAAGAAUAAAGGUGGGGGGAAGGUCUCCCAACUCAUCCAUGGAUUAGAGGCAGCCGGCACAUCCCCACACAGACACACACACACGCAGCACACACACAUUUGCCGGAUGCAAAAGCAGACAUUUAAGUCCCCGGGUAAGUUGGAUGGGCACUCAGUCCUGCAUCGGUCAGAAAAGUGUUUAAAAACGAGCUGAGCUAGUGCAGUUAGAGGGAAGAAAGGGAGCAGAAGAGGGGAAGGAAAAAAAGAGACAUACCAGUUAGGAGCUUCUGUUGCAGCAGAGGACUCACCAGAGCACUAGCUGAAAGCUGAAUCAGCUUUCGAGAGUUAGGGAUGCAUAGAGGAGGGUCAUGGAAUCACAAGGUAAUAAUGCGCUUCAUGCUGCAGCCGUCAGCCUUCUCCUUAUAGCCAAUCUCUAAUGCAGGAAGGGAAAAAGAGAGCAGGCCCAGUGAUGGUAUUAGUCCUCACUUGGAGGAAAAAAAAAAAAAAUUAAAAAAAAAAAAAAUCAUCAGGCAAACCUCCCCCCCACCCUUACCUCACCCCCUCCGCCCAGCACCACUACAACUCCAUCCCUGCUGCUGCAUCGCGGCUGGGCGGUGGGGGGAGGAAGGCGGCAGGCAGCGCGG